rnacentral:rRNA from 1 species
AGGAAAAGAAACCAACAGGGAUUGCCCUAGUAACGGCGAGUGAAGCGGCAACAGCUCAAAUUUGAAAUCUGGCUCUCGGGCCCGAGUUGUAAUUUGUAGAGGAUGCUUUUGAUGCGGUGCCUUCCGAGUUCCCUGGAACGGGACGCCAUAGAGGGUGAGAGCCCCGUCUGGUUGGAUGCCAAAUCUCUGUAAAGCUCCUUCGACGAGUCGAGUAGUUUGGGAAUGCUGCUCUAAAUGGGAGGUAUAUGUCUUCUAAAGCUAAAUACCGGCCAGAGACCGAUAGCGCACAAGUAGAGUGAUCGAAAGAUGAAAAGCACUUUGAAAAGAGAGUUAAAAAGUACGUGAAAUUGUUGAAAGGGAAGCGUUUAUGACCAGACUUGGGCUUGGUUAAUCAUCUGGGGUUCUCCCCAGUGCACUUUUCCAGUCCAGGCCAGCAUCAGUUUUCGCCGGGGGAUAAAGGCUUCGGGAAUGUGGCUCUCUCCGGGGAGUGUUAUAGCCCGUUGCGUAAUACCCUGGCGGGGACUGAGGUUCGCGCAUCUGCAAGGAUGCUGGCGUAAUGGUCAUCAACGACCCGU